GCGGGAUCCUUACCCAGCCUUUAGGUUUUUGUCAGGUCAGACGUACGCUGGCGGCAGGCUUAACACAUGCAAGUCGAACGCCCCGCAAGGGGAGUGGCAGACGGGUGAGUAACGCGUGGGAACAUACCCUUUCCUGCGGAAUAGCUCCGGGAAACUGGAAUUAAUACCGCAUACGCCCUACGGGGGAAAGAUUUAUCGGGGAAGGAUUGGCCCGCGUUGGAUUAGCUAGUUGGUGGGGUAAAGGCCUACCAAGGCGACGAUCCAUAGCUGGUCUGAGAGGAUGAUCAGCCACAUUGGGACUGAGACACGGCCCAAACUCCUACGGGAGGCAGCAGUGGGGAAUAUUGGACAAUGGGCGCAAGCCUGAUCCAGCCAUGCCGCGUGAGUGAUGAAGGCCUUAGGGUUGUAAAGCUCUUUCACCGGAGAAGAUAAUGACGGUAUCCGGAGAAGAAGCCCCGGCUAACUUCGUGCCAGCAGCCGCGGUAAUACGAAGGGGGCUAGCGUUGUUCGGAAUUACUGGGCGUAAAGCGCACGUAGGCGGAUAUUUAAGUCAGGGGUGAAAUCCCAGAGCUCAACUCUGGAACUGCCUUUGAUACUGGGUAUCUUGAGUAUGGAAGAGGUAAGUGGAAUUCCGAGUGUAGAGGUGAAAUUCGUAGAUAUUCGGAGGAACACCAGUGGCGAAGGCGGCUUACUGGUCCAUUACUGACGCUGAGGUGCGAAAGCGUGGGGAGCAAACAGGAUUAGAUACCCUGGUAGUCCACGCCGUAAACGAUGAAUGUUAGCCGUCGGGCAGUAUACUGUUCGGUGGCGCAGCUAACGCAUUAAACAUUCCGCCUGGGGAGUACGGUCGCAAGGAUUAAAACUCAAAAGGAAUUGACGGGGGGCCCGCACAAGCGGGUGGAGCAUGUGGAUUUAAUUCGAAAGCAACGCGACAGAACCUUUACCAACCUCUUUGACAUGUCCGGGGAUUUGCCGCAAGAGGAAGACGAUUGGUCGCUUCACAUUAAGGCAUGGCGCCCAACAACGUGGUGGCUGCGAUGGGCUCGUCCAUCAUCGUCGUCGUCGAUGAUGAUUGUUGUGGUAUAACCUCGCCGACAACGCAGCAGCAACUCCGUCGACCCAUUAUGUUGACCAGACAUGUUAGCUUCGGGACACAUCAUAAGCGGGGACGUGCACGAGUGGAUAAAGACCGGAUGAGGGAAUGGAUGGUGGAAUGGACCGUCCUAGGUCCCUCUAUGGGCCUCUUUAGCGUGUGCAUGGGGCUUACAACAACGGUGGCUUACGAAAUGGGUAGGGUUGACCACGUGAGGGCCAGCCGAAGGACGAGACGGACUAGUUCCGACGCCUAAACUCCUCGCAUAAGAUGCCCUAUCCUUCAAGCUGUCCAGGGAAUUUGGCCAACCUUCCUGGCCAUAGCCUUCCGGAAGAUUGGCCAAUGGAAAAUGCUUUCGGGGAAAAUUACAGGCCUUAAGGUUGAAAUUCCCAGCCAAGUAAAUUCCAA
rnacentral:rRNA from 1 species